AGAUCGGGAGGAAUACCGGUGCAAGAAGGCGGCCUUCUGGACUGACACUGACGCUGAGGUGCGAAAGCGUGGGUAGCAAACAGGAUUAGAUACCCUGGUAGUCCACGCCGUAAACGAUGUCGACUAGCCGUUGGGUCCUUCGCGGACUUUGUGGCGCAGUUAACGCGAUAAGUCGACCGCCUGGGGAGUACGGCCGCAAGGUUAAAACUCAAAUGAAUUGACGGGGGCCCGCACAAGCGGUGGAGCAUGUGGUUUAAUUCGAUGCAACGCGAAGAACCUUACCUACCCUUGACAUCCUGCGAACCCUUCGGAGACGAAGGGGUGCCUUCGGGAGCGCAGAGACAGGUGCUGCAUGGCUGUCGUCAGCUCGUGUUGUGAAAUGUUGGGUUAAGUCCCGUAACGAGCGCAACCCUUGUCCCUAUUUGCCAGCGAUUCGGUCGGGAACUCUAGGGAGACUGCCGGUGACAAACCGGAGGAAGGUGGGGACGACGUCAAGUCAUCAUGGCCCUUACGGGUAGGGCUACACACGUGCUACAAUGGUCAGUACAAAGGGUUGCGAACUUGCGAAAGUGAGCCAAUCCCAGAAGCUGAUCUCAGUCCGGAUCGGAGUCUGCAACUCGACUCCGUGAAGUCGGAAUCGCUAGUAAUCGUGAAUCAGAAUGUCACGGUGAAUACGUUCCCGGGCCUUGUACACACCGCCCGUCACACCAUGGGAGUGGACUGCACCAGAAGUGGUUA
rnacentral:rRNA from 1 species